GACGAACGCUGGCGGCGUGCUUAACACAUGCAAGUCGAACGGGCCUGUCUUCUUUUUUGGGGGUGGGUUGAGUGGCGAACGGGUGAGUAUCACGUGAGUAACCUGCCCUUCGGUCCUGGAUAACCGCUUGAAAGGGCGGCUAAUACGGGGUGGUCCGGUUGGUCCGCAUGGGCUGGUCGGGAUAGAUUCUCUGUUUUUGGUGUUUCGGCGGGGGAUGGGCUCGCGGCCUAUCAGCUUGUUGGUGGGGUGAUGGCCUACCAAGGCGGUGACGGGUAGCCGGCCUGAGAGGGUGGGCGGCCACACUGGGACUGGGAUACGGCCCAGACUCCUGCGGGAGGCAGCAGUGGGGGGUAUUGCACAAUGGGCGGAAGCCUGAUGCAGCGACGUCGCGUGAGGGAUGGAGGCCUUCGGGUUGUGAACCUCUGUUUCCGGUGGUGAAGGCCCUGUCCGUGUGGUGGGGUUGACGGUAGCCGGGGAUGAAGCGCCGGCUAACUACGUG
rnacentral:rRNA from 1 species